rnacentral:sRNA from 13 species
GGCUGGUAAACACUUAAAACGAUUCAUCGAUAUUUUUCUUUGAGCACGUUACACAACACUAAGUAAACUGUAAUUUCUAACACAAAAAAGGUAAACAAACCAUUAAUCGAAAACAAUGACUUGGUAAUGUAAAGUUUUGGAUGUUGCAAUACCAAGGCGGAACCUCUAUUGCCGGCUACAGCCGGCUGACCUACUGUGAACACUUAAACACACACGCAGCAUUAUUCAGCCUUUAUCGUUGUGCAUAAACUUUGGUCGUACCUGAACUCGUACAAGGCCACCUAAUCUUGAUGAACUUCAUAAGGGAAUAAGGGACGCACAAAAUAGUGAGCUUGCAAAAGUCUGUAACCCAUUUUAUGGAAAUUUGGAUAUGUUCGACAACGAUCACGGCUAGGAUUUAAACAAAUUUCAUGUUAGCAGGAGCGAAAAGACCCCUCAACAAAAAUAUUCAGACAAGGGCUUGGCCCUAAAUUUAACUACGACCCGGAGAAAAGGCGCUCCCGAAAGGAGGCCCUCGGAGGAUCCCAAAGCUGUAAUCUACGACGACCUUGGUCGCAGGCCUUAUUGCAUCAAAUUAGAUAUACUGGCGCAAAGAUUAUAUAUAUUCUCCAGAAUGUGCUUAUUUUUCUGUCAUACUGCCUAGUUUUGUCCUACAUAGGCUUAGCUUCGGCUACUCUUACGCUCAACAAUGCUGCAUAAUACAUAUUUAUUUAAAUACACAUUCACUUGACAGAACAACAAAAAGCAUGGAAAUAGCUCCUUCAAUUUUUUAAGAAAAACAAGCGAGUCAGCUGGUUUAUCUGUUUUCCGUAUGCCAUAACACUGGCCAAAUUCUGACUGCAAUUUAACCACUGUUUUAAACAAGUUUUUGUGGUUUCUUGCUACGCAUUAUGGCCUUGGGUCUUAAAAGACGACUUUAAUAAAACAAUUUUAUAUUUAUCUCCAUGAUUUCCACUAAAACGUGAAGGAAAUUCCUGGAAAUGAAAUUUAAAUAAUGCAAAAUGCUGUGGAAUAAUAUAUGACAAGCGCGAGAUAUAAGGCCUUUGUUCAAUAUCCCUUUCGAGCUUCACAUUAAAGUAUACUUUUACUUGGAACCAAAGCAAUUUAUUUGUUAAUACGAAUAAGUUAUACUCCUUGUCAAAAUACAAACGGUCCAAGCCCGAUUUUUUUUAGAAUAAUUCCCAGCAAAAUAUCUACUAAUAUGCGUAAGCUGACCCUGACCUUCUCCCACUUAAGGAGUGAACCCAAAUAG